GCAUGAUCUCGACUCACUGCAACCUCUACCUGCCAGGUUCAAGCGAUCCUCCCACCUCACCCUCUUGAUUAGCUGGUAAUACAGGCGCCUGCCACUACACCCAGCUAAUUUUUUGUAUUUUUAGUAGGGAUGGAGUUUCACCACGUUGGCCACACAGUCAGCUUCUCAUAAGGACACCAGUCACUUUGGAUUAGGGGCUCAUCCCAUCCCAGUAAGACCUCAUCUUCUUUUUUUUUUUCAUCAGUUCAAGACUGAUGGUCCUCACUCUCGACCUCAAGUGAUCCACAUGCCUCGGCCUCCCAAAGUGCUGCGAUUACAGGCAUGAGCCACUGUGCCUGGCCCACCCCAAUGUUUUAAAGAGACUGGGCACAAUGCUGCAGAAGAAUUCUGAAACACUAUUCCAUUAUUUCAUUUAUUUAUUUAUUUAUUUGCAAUAGGGUCUUGCUCUGUUGCCCAGGCUAGCGUGCAGUGGUGUGAUCAUAGCUCACUGCAGCCUUUAAUUCCUGGGCUCAAGUGAUCCUCCCACCUCAGCUUCCCAAGUAACUAGGUCCAGAUGCAUGCAGCAUCACACCCAACUAAUCUAUUUUAUUUUUUGUAGACGGUGGGGCACUGGCAGAGUAGGGAGGAUCUCACUAUGUUACCCCAUCUCUACCAAAAAUAGAAAAUAAAUAGCCUGGUGCUGUGGCCCAUGUCUGUAAUGCCAGCACUUUGGGAGGCUGAGACGGGUGGACUGCUUGAGCUCAGGAGUUUGAGACCAGUCCAGGCAACAUGGCAAAACCCUGUCUCUACCAAAAAUACAAAAAUGAACCACGUAUGGUGGCACAUGCCUCUGGUCCCAGCUACUUGGGAGGCUGAGGUGGGAGGAUCGCUGGCACCCGGGAAGUUGAGGCUGCAGUGAGCUGUAAUCAUGCCACUCCACUCCAGCCUGGGUGACAAAGCGAGACCCUGUCUCAAAAAACAAAAAACAAACAAACAAUGGUCCCCAUGGCCACAUGCCCACUGCUGCACCUCUGGCUGUAAUGUGAAUGGUCUGGGGUGAUGUUAUAUAAUAACCAGCCCCUGCAAACCAGGAUAGCCACUACCAAGCUUCUCAGUGAUGCUGAUGGCCCCCCAACCAGGGCAUUCCUUGGAACCUUGGUAAACAGAAUGCUCUCCAGACCCUCCUAAGGAACAUAACUGAAGGUGGGUUGCUUGGUCUUAUCUUCUAGUUCCAUCCUAGUUUGUGUAUGUAUGAAUCUUUGGAUCCCUUUGUUAAGUCUGCCAUGGUUUUGUCAUCUCUACGUCAUUUAAUGUGGGCCACUGACUUUUCUAAGCUUUCAAGAAUCACUCCAAGGCCAGGUGCAGUAGCUCAUGCCUGUAAUCCCAACAUUUGGGAGGCCAAGGCUGGAGGAUCACUUGAGCCCAGGAGUUCGAGACCACUCUGGGCAGCAUAGGGAGAUACCAUCUCUCCAAAAA
rnacentral:lncRNA from 10 species